rnacentral:lncRNA from 1 species
UCUUUCCUUAUCCUUGAACAUUUUAACAGGCUUAAUCCGGAUUGCCGAUUGAAUAGGCAAUAGAUUACCAUUACCACUACCAUUAGUGUCAUUUUGCUGCUGAAGUUGCUGCUGUGGUUUUUCCAAUGAGCCAUAACUCCCAGAACGGAUCCCCAAUGAUCCUCCACCAUUCAUUGUCUCUCUCCCUCCUUAAACCCCACGAACAAACACUGACCUCAGCACUCCACUCAUGACCUCAUCUCGAAAUUGGCGGGAGUCUUUGGAUUCCUCUGAAUGGUGGGAGAGGAAUCCACCAAAAAAUAAAACAAGGGUUGAUGAGAAAUUGGCAAAGUUGUGAGCUUUCCGAAAUUCACAAAAGAUGGAAGAAAAUUGCCCGAAAUGAACAAAUCUAGGGUUGCUUUUUUAUUUUUAUUUUUUGAUUUUUGGGAAGGGGUAAAUAUUUUUAUUCAAAUCUGGGAUUUGGGUGGAAUUAGUGUGAGCUUGGACCAAUAUUUAUAUGUGAGUUGAAAAAUCAAGAACACUAACUAGGUUGAAUUUAAUUUUGUCAUAAAUGUGAUUAAUCAAUGUAUCACACCAGAAGUCACUUACCAUGUGCAUCCAUGUC